rnacentral:lncRNA from 1 species
CUUACCCCGGUGAAACUCAUAAAACAAUAUACGAAAGCAAUAACAUUAUCAUCAUCAUGAAAUCAUAUAAACUGUGUAACAUAAUACUUAUCACGCCCUUGCAAUUCAAUCAUUUCACAAUUACUUUUCCUCAUUCACCAGCCUACUAGUAUCCAUGGGGAUCCAUAGGGGUCCCGCUACCCGUUACCCUUAAUACUUGUAAUCAGAUUCCAGGGCCGUCCCCAUACCCCGUCCGGUAUGGGCGCCAAAACUGUAAACCUCAAUACCCCGUCCGGUAUGAGGGUGAAACGGGCCGUCCUCAUACCCCGUCCGGUAUGGGCGCCAAAACACAUAAGAUCUCCAUACCCCAUCCGGUAUGAGAGACCACAAUCCCGGUAGGGUCCCCUACGGACCCGGUCCGUCCACCAUCUCCCAGGAUAUCUAGUCAGGCUGACCCCAUUACACAAUUAUCAAUUUAUACAAUCUUCCAUUCUUCUUUCCCUCAAUCAGCAUCAUCAAUUCGCAUUUAGAUAAGCAAAACAGUAAUUCAUGCCAAACAGACAACAUACAGUAUCGGUAUUUCAGUCAUUCAACCAAUAAACAAUAAAACAGUAAAAUAUGCACACGAAACUAUAAAAUGAAAACAUCAAACCUCAUACUGCAUUUAAUACGGAAAAUUAGAUCAAACAAUAAUAGACCAACAUUGUAUCAGACUCGGGCUCCAUUGGCAACCUCAAUCAAUUAUACAUCUAUAAAGUCUCAAAAUACCGUUUAAUUAUUUAUUAAGCUUUAAUACCGUGAUAGGAAAUAG